rnacentral:rRNA from 2 species
AGAUUAAACUAAAGAGUUUGAUCCUGGCUCAGAUUGAACGCUGGCGGCAUGCCUUACACAUGCAAGUCGAACGGCAGCACGGAGCUUGCUCUGGUGGCGAGUGGCGAACGGGUGAG